rnacentral:ncRNA from 2 species
GGUCACGAGACCCAGCACCAAGCCCCGGCUGGCUGGGCGGCAACCCUCCUCUCGCGGUGGGGUGCCCCGGGAGACGACCUGGUCGGCGCCACCCGGCGUCGGCAAGCGCGGGUC